UACGUAGGGUGCAAGCGUUAAUCGGAAUUACUGGGCGUAAAGCGUGCGCAGGCGGCUUUGCAAGACAGAUGUGAAAUCCCUGGGCUUAACCUGGGAACUGCAUUUGUGACUGCACAGCUGGAGUGCGGCAGAGGGGGAUGGAAUUCCGCGUGUAGCAGUGAAAUGCGUAGAUAUGCGGAGGAACACCGAUGGCGAAGGCAAUCCCCUGGGCCUGCACUGACGCUCAUGCACGAAAGCGUGGGGAGCAAACAGG
rnacentral:rRNA from 1 species